AUUGAACGCUGGCGGCAUGCUUUACACAUGCAAGUCGAACGGUAACAGGUUAAGCUGACGAGUGGCGAACGGGUGAGUAAUGCAUCGGAACGUGCCCGAUCGUGGGGGGUAACGCAGCGAAAGCUGCGCUAAUACCGCAUACGAUCUGAGGAUGAAAGCGGGGGACCGUAAGGCCUCGCGCGAUCGGAGCGGCGGAAGUCAGAGUAGGUAGUUGGUGGGGUAAAGGCUCACCAAGCCGACGAUCUGGAGCUGGUCUGAGAGGACGACCAGCCACACUGGGACUGAGACACGGCCCAGACUCCUACGGGAGGCAGCAGUGGGGAAUCUUGGACAAUGGGCGCAAGCCUGAUCCAGCAAUGCCGCGUGCAGGAAGAAGGUCUUCGGGUUGUAAACUGCUUUUGUACGGAGCGAAAAGGCUCUCUCUAAUACAGGGGGUUCAUGACGGUACCGUAAGAAUAAGCACCGGCUAACUACGUGCCAGCCGCCGCCGUAA
rnacentral:rRNA from 1 species